UGGGGAAUAUUGCACAAUGGGCGCAAGCCUGAUGCAGCGACGCCGCGUGCGGGAUGACGGCCUUCGGGUUGUAAACCGCUUUUGAUCGGGAGCAAGCCUUCGGGUGAGUGUACCUUUCGAAUAAGCACCGGCUAACUACGUGCCAGCAGCCGCGGUAAUACGUAGGGUGCAAGCGUUAUCCGGAAUUAUUGGGCGUAAAGGGCUCGUAGGCGGUUCGUCGCGUCCGGUGUGAAAGUCCAUCGCUUAACGGUGGAUCCGCGCCGGGUACGGGCGGGCUGGAGUGCGGUAGGGGAGACUGGAAUUCCCGGUGUAACGGUGGAAUGUGUAGAUAUCGGGAAGAACACCAAUGGCGAAGGCAGGUCUCUGGGCCGUUACUGACGCUGAGGAGCGAAAGCGUGGGGAGCGAACAGG
rnacentral:rRNA from 1 species